UCCUCCGCCGCUGAAGUUCCCGACGCCCUGCGUUAGGCCGUGGACGCGCAUGAUCUGAAGUGACCGGGUGCAGGAGGCAUCCACGUCGUCCACAAGGUCUCCCCCAAGCACCACCGCUGCUACCUCCACACCUCCAUCGUUCAGGACCUCGUCACAUCCAAAGCUAACAGGUGAGACAUGUACCCAACAGCAGGAGGGGCAGUAGCGGUAGUCGUCACGCGCAGGAUGUCGUUGCGGUGUCCCGUUAGACAUGCUCGCUGACGCCUCUGGCGAUGGUGCCGCGAACAGCAGCGGAGGAAGUGAAGCGAAGUGUGUUGGGCGGUGACCCCGACAGAGAAGAAGAAAACGUGUACGACUUGUUUUUUUUCUUUUGGCAGAGGAAGUUGCUAUGGUUGGAUACUGUUUUUGUGGUGACCCGAUCGAUGAUGUGUAUGCAUGUGUGCUGAUAAGGUAGUAGUACUAUUACGUCUGUUUGUAAAAGGAUGUUAAAAAUUUAUCUGAAUUUGGAUGUGUCUAUACAUUCUGUAGUAGUGUAUAGAUACAUCCGAAUUUGGGUAAAUCUUGGACAUCUCUUUUAUGGACGGGAGUAGUAGUAUAUGUGACUCUUGUGGUGAAAGACUGAUUAUUGUGUGGUGUGAA